rnacentral:rRNA from 1 species
CCUACGGGGGGCAGCAGUGAGGAAUAUUGGUCAAUGGACGAGAGUCUGAACCAGCCAAGUAGCGUGAAGGAUGACUGCCCUAUGGGUUGUAAACUUCUUUUAUAUGGGAAUAAAAUGUUCCACGUGUGGGAUUUUGUAUGUACCAUAUGAAUAAGGAUCGGCUAACUCCGUGCCAGCAGCCGCGGUAAUACGGAGGAUCCGAGCGUUAUCCGGAUUUAUUGGGUUUAAAGGGAGCGUAGGUGGAUUGUUAAGUCAGUGGUGAAAGUUUGCGGCUCAACCGUAAAAUUGCAGUUGAUACUGGCAGUCUUGAGUACAGUAGAGGUGGGCGGAAUUCGUGGUGUAGCGGUGAAAUGCUUAGAUAUCACGAAGAACUCCGAUUGCGAAGGCAGUUCACUGGACUGCAACUGACACUGAGGCUCGAAAGUGUGGGUAUCAAACAGGAUUAGAUACCCUUGUAGUC